GGAGAGGUGUCCGAGUGGUCGAAGGAGCACGAUUGGAAAUCGUGUGUAUGUCUAACAGAUGUACCGAGGGUUCGAAUCCCUCUCUCUCCG
rnacentral:tRNA from 1 species